UAAUAAGUGUUUUAUGGCACUUUUUAAAUCCAUAUCCACCUUGUGUGCAAUGUCAGUCGAUCUUCUUCAUGGAGAUCGACCAAACAUCAACCUUUAUCUUUUAACUCUUUGUCUGAAAAAUAUUAUGAAUAAACAAUUCAAAAUACAACUUUCAACAACGGAUCUCUUGGCUCUCGCAUCGAUGAAGAACGCAGCGAAAUGCGAUACGUAAUGUGAAUUGCAGAAUUCAGUGAAUCAUCGAAUCUUUGAACGCAUAUUGCGCUCUUUGGUAUUCCGAAGAGCAUGCUUGUUUGAGUAUCAGUAAACACCUCAAAGCUUUUGGAUUUUUUAAUCGAAAAGCUUUGGACUUGAGCAAUCCCAACACCAAUCUUUUUGAGAUCGGUGGCGGGUUUGCUUGAAAUGCAGGUGCAGCUGGACAAUUCUCCUGAGCUAAAAGCAUAUUCAUUUAGUCCCGUCAAACGGAUUAUUACUUUUUGCUGCAGCUAACAUAAAGGGAGUUUGACCGUAUUGGCUGACUGAUGCAGGAUUUCACAAGGGUCGGCAAGCGAUUCUUGUUAAACUCGAAUCUCAAAUCAAGUAAGACUAACCCGCUGAACUUACUAGCAUAUCAAUAAGCGGAGGAAUCGCGUACUUGGUCAUUUAGAGGAAGUAAAAGUCGUAACAAGGUUUCCGUAGGUGAACCUGCGGAAGGAUCAUUAAAAUUAAAUUACCACAAUGUUUUUGAAACAACACCAAAUUAAUUUUCUUUUCUUCAAUCGUUUUUAUAAUAAA
rnacentral:misc_RNA from 1 species